rnacentral:piRNA from 2 species
UUGAAAUGGGAAUUUGAAUGUAGUUGAACA